CUACGGGUGGCAGCAGUGGGGAAUAUUGGACAAUGGGCGAAAGCCUGAUCCAGCCAUGCCGCGUGUGUGAAGAAGGCCUUCGGGUUGUAAAGCACUUUCAGUGGGGAAGAAAGCCUUGGGGCUAAUACCCUCGAGGAAGGACAUCACCCACAGAAGAAGCACCGGCUAACUCCGUGCCAGCAGCCGCGGUAAUACGGAGGGUGCGAGCGUUAAUCGGAAUUACUGGGCGUAAAGCGCGCGUAGGCGGUCUGAUAAGCCGGUUGUGAAAGCCCCGGGCUCAACCUGGGAACGGCAUCCGGAACUAUCAGGCUAGAGUGCAGGAGAGGAAGGUAGAAUUCCCGGUGUAGCGGUGAAAUGCGUAGAGAUCGGGAGGAAUACCAGUGGCGAAGGCGGCCUUCUGGACUGACACUGACGCUGAGGUGCGAAAGCGUGGGUAGCAAACAGGAUUAGAUACCCCUGUAGUC
rnacentral:rRNA from 1 species